GUGCCCGGUGAUUAUAAAAAGACGCGUUAUUCUGACGGAUCCCCCCCCUGCUGUCUGUUCUCUGGCUUUUCUUCUCUCUCACUAGUCUCCCCCUUUGCUAUGUCUAUCUGUUUUCUCCUCUGUCUCUCCAUCUACGACAGCCAGCAGGUCCACUGAUUGCGAUUAUGAGAGAUGAGGGCAC